CGACAUCGCCGGCGGAAUCAGUCAUCAAAAGAAAAGCACAAUGAAGGAACCUUUCUCACAGCUCAAUCAUGUUCAAUUUUAGUAGUUCCUUCUAAGCCUCUGUUUCAUCGUCCUCUGUUCUGAGCUUGAGUAGUUUCAUGCCGGGUGGGGAUAAUACACCGUCAUUAUUCGAUCUAGCCUCCAUCGUCAUCAUCAAUUCGUCAGAAGGAUUUUCAAAACCUCCCCAUUAUAACCAAACGCUAAAUGCUGGAAGAAGGCAACAAAAGAGGGAGAUUAAACUACACAAAUAAGUUUCAGUGUUGUUCAACUUCAAAGCUUCUUCUGUCUAGGUCCUCCUACAGAGAGUGUUAAAAUAAAACUCUACCUGAUUGCUUAUUAGUUGGGAAACAGGAAGAAAGAAACAUCAAAGCUUGCAAUUUUACAGACUAGGAAGAACAAGUAGGCCAUCACCAACAAAUAAGUAAACAACCGCAGCAAGAUACAAACACUGUGAGAAAAACGGAAGUGAGGAUGGAAGAAACAAGUGACUUUUUUGUGUGACAGCAUACCUCAAAAUCUCGUAAAGCUUGCAGUUCAGGAACAAAGCAUUCCUAACUUUGAAUCCGUAUAAACCUUGGAUAAAGGAAGAAUAAAAG
rnacentral:lncRNA from 1 species